rnacentral:rRNA from 1 species
ACGCACGCUGGCGGCAUGCCUAACACAUGCAAGUCGAACGAGACCUUCGGGUCUAGUGGCGCACGGGUGCGUAACGCGUGGGAACCUGCCCUUAGGUUCGGAAUAACUCCCCGAAAGGGGUGCUAAUACCGGAUAAUGUCUUCGGACCAAAGAUUUAUCGCCUUUGGAUGGGCCCGCGUUGGAUUAGCUAGUUGGUAGGGUAAAAGCCUACCAAGGCGACGAUCCAUAGCUGGUCUGAGAGGAUGAUCAGCCACACUGGGACUGAGACACGGCCCAGACUCCUACUGGAGGCAGCAGUGGGGAAUAUUGGACAAUGGGCGAAAGCCUGAUCCAGCAAUGCCGCGUGAGUGAUGAAGGCCUUAGGGUUGUAAAGCUCUUUUACCCGGGAUGAUAAUGACAGUACCGGGAGAAUAAGCUCCGGCUAACUCCGUG